AUGGGGUGCCUAUACAUGCAAGUCGAACGCUUUGUGGUUCAACUGAUUUGAAGAGCUUGCUCAGAUAUGACGAUGGACAUUGCAAAGAGUGGCGAACGGGUGAGUAACACGUGGGAAACCUACCUCUUAGCAGGGGAUAACAUUUGGAAACAGAUGCUAAUACCGUAUAACAAUGACAACCGCAUGGUUGUUAUUUAAAAGAUGGUUCUGCUAUCACUAAGAGAUGGUCCCGCGGUGCAUUAGCUAGUUGGUAAGGUAAUGGCUUACCAAGGCGAUGAUGCAUAGCCGAGUUGAGAGACUGAUCGGCCACAAUGGGACUGAGACACGGCCCAUACUCCUACGGGAGGCAGCAGUAGGGAAUCUUCCACAAUGGGCGAAAGCCUGAUGGAGCAACGCCGCGUGUGUGAUGAAGGGUUUCGGCUCGUAAAACACUGUUGUAAGAGAAGAAUGACAUUGAGAGUAACUGUUCAAUGUGUGACGGUAUCUUACCAGAAAGGAACGGCUAAAUACGUGCCAGCAGCCGCGGUAAUACGUAUGUUCCAAGCGUUAUCCGGAUUUAUUGGGCGUAAAGCGAGCGCAGACGGUUAUUUAAGUCUGAAGUGAAAGCCCUCAGCUCAACUGAGGAAUUGCUUUGGAAACUGGAUGACUUGAGUGCAGUAGAGGAAAGUGGAACUCCAUGUGUAGCGGUGAAAUGCGUAGAUAUAUGGAAGAACACCAGUGGCGAAGGCGGCUUUCUGGACUGUAACUGACGUUGAGGCUCGAAAGUGUGGGUAGCAAACAGGAUUAGAUACCCUGGUAGUCCACACCGUAAACGAUGAGUGCUAGGUGUUUGAGGGUUUCCGCCCUUAAGUGCCGCAGCUAACGCAUUAAGCACUCCGCCUGGGGAGUACGACCGCAAGGUUGAAACUCAAAGGAAUUGACGGGGACCCGCACAAGCGGUGGAGCAUGUGGUUUAAUUCGAAGCAACGCGAAGAACCUUACCAGGUCUUGACAUCCCUUGACAACUCCAGAGAUGGAGCGUUCCCUUCGGGGACAAGGUGACAGGUGGUGCAUGGUUGUCGUCAGCUCGUGUCGUGAGAUGUUGGGUUAAGUCCCGCAACGAGCGCAACCCUUAUUACUAGUUGCCAGCAUUCAGUUGGGCACUCUAGUGAGACUGCCGGUGACAAACCGGAGGAAGGUGGGGAUGACGUCAAAUCAUCAUGCCCCUUAUGACCUGGGCUACACACGUGCUACAAUGGCGUAUACAACGAGUUGCCAACCCGCGAGGGUGAGCUAAUCUCUUAAAGUACGUCUCAGUUCGGAUUGUAGGCUGCAACUCGCCUACAUGAAGUCGGAAUCGCUAGUAAUCGCGGAUCAGCACGCCGCGGUGAAUACGUUCCCGGGUCUUGUACACACCGCCCGUCACACCAUGAGAGUUUGUAACACCCAAAGCCGGUGGGGUAACCUUCGGGAGCCAGCCGUCUAAGGUGACAGGAUUGG
rnacentral:rRNA from 1 species